rnacentral:lncRNA from 1 species
CCACCUCUGAAAGAGGGAGAAAAUGCAGAUAAGACAGGUAUCAGAUAAUGCCUAUCUGCACAAGAUAGAUCCUUUCAUUUGACAGUAAUCUAGUCAUUGGGAGUUCCAAUAAGGCUAGUCUAUAAUUACAAUCUUCUUACAAAUUUUCAUUAUUUGCUUAGAGAAGUCACAUUGCCAUUCCACUGCAGAAGAAACUGCCUGUGAUGCAAGAGCAAAGAACCACCUCAAAGUCAAAAAGUGAACCAAAAGAUAAGGUUCAUUUCAAUGCCCAGCUGCCUCUGAUCGCAUGGCCAUUGAACUUCUGUGUGAGGAACAAACGUUUGACUCGUCCCUGGGACUGUGUACUGAUUUGCCUCAGUUCUACACAGGGGCAGAGACAGCGAGCCUCUACCCUGUGCCUCACACUGUGCUGGAAGUGGGACUGUAUCUGUGAGUGCAGAUGGGACCCUUGAUCGUCUGUGGACAGAUACAUCUGUGCAAGAAAUUGUGCUCCUGUUUUCUCUUAAAUUUGAGACCUUCACACCCACCACAGGCUGGAUUCUCUGAGGGCAUUUGAAGAAUUGUAGAUUGGAUUGUUGUGGUACCACAGGGAAUGGUCGUUUCUGAUCACUCUUAAAGACUGAGUUCCUGUUCCUGACUAAUUGUAGGUAGGCAACCUACAUUUGCAUCAUUCUGCUUUAUUUAUUUUCACAAUUUAAUGAUUUUCUGUUGAAUUCUGUUAACUGUGAAAUUGAAUGUACUGUCACUUUGUGUAUAUAUGUGCAUUUUGAGACUGUA